rnacentral:misc_RNA from 1 species
CCAACGACCGGCCAAACGACCGUUUAUUGGGAUCUCGAGAAACGACCACGACUGCCACGGGGAGAUGGACGAUUCUUGGAACGGUGGCUGCAUCUCCAGCCUUUUGUUGCCGCAUUUAGCGAUAUGUGUUCGAAUCUCAACUUCGAACUGGACUCCAAAUUUUUCGACGCUAUUGCGAUCCCAUCACUAGCUACGUUCGAAACGAUAAAAAAAUGUAAAUCAAAAAGCAAGCGUAGGGAGUCCAGAAAAAAAGAGAAAGAAAUCGUCUUGACGACUUUUGAGGAUCACAUAAACGUCCUUCGACAGCCAAG